AUUGAACGCUGGCGGAAUGCCUUACACAUGCAAGUCGAACGGCAGCACGGGUGCUUGCACCUGGUGGCGAGUGGCGAACGGGUGAGUAAUACAUCGGAACGUACCCAGUCGUGGGGGAUAACGUAGCGAAAGUUACGCUAAUACCGCAUACGUCCUGAGGGAGAAAGCGGGGGACCGUAAGGCUUCGCGCGAUUGGAGCGGCCGAUGGCGGAUUAGCUAGUUGGUGGGGUAAAGGCCUACCAAGGCGACGAUCCGUAGCGGGUCUGAGAGGACGGCCCGCCACACUGGAACUGAGACACGGUCCAGACUCCUACGGGAGGCAGCAGUGGGGAAUUUUGGACAAUGGGCGAAAGCCUGAUCCAGCCAUUCCGCGUGAGUGAAGAAGGCCUUCGGGUUGUAAAGCUCUUUCGGCAGGGAAGAAACGGCUUGGGAUAAUACCCCGGGCUAAUGACGGUACCUGAAGAAGAAGCACCGGCUAACUACGUGCCAGCAGCCGCCGUAA
rnacentral:rRNA from 1 species